rnacentral:lncRNA from 1 species
UUUUUCAGACAAAAUCAUCUGUACUUUUGAAGCACAGCAAAAAAAGAAAAGUAACUGACAUAUGGGAAGGUGAUGACAAAAUUAUUUCUGAGCAGAAAAAUCAGAAAGAGAGAAAAGAAGAAAUAAUAGAAACCUUCCUUGGUCAAGAAGAAUUACCAAUUUUAGAAAAUAUUAAUAUUUCAAUGAGAUAUCCAAAUGAUGAUAAGUUUCGUGGAUUCAACAGCAAAGUUCAGUUUUCUGGUCCACAUGUUCUGGAAGGCUUGCGUGAUAUGAUCGAAACAGAAAAAAUUAAACACACACUUCCUGCUUACCUAUCACAGCUGCUAAUUCUUGGAAGAGACCAUAUAAUUUUAGGAUGCAACUAAUAAAGAUGUUUGUAGCUAUAAACUAUUAAACACACUCACACACAGACAUAUACUUAUAAAAAAUGUAUGUAUACAGAUAUACAUGUGUGUGUGCCUGUGGGU